GUGGGGAAUAUUGGACAAUGGGCGAAAGCCUGAUCCAGCCAUGCCGCGUGUGUGAAGAAGGUCUUCGGAUUGUAAAGCACUUUAAGUUGGGAGGAAGGGCAGUAAGUUAAUACCUUGCUGUUUUGACGUUACCGACAGAAUAAGCACCGGCUAACUUCGUGCCAGCAGCCGCGGUAAUACGAAGGGUGCAAGCGUUAAUCGGAAUUACUGGGCGUAAAGCGCGCGUAGGUGGUUUUGUAAGUUGGAGGUGAAAUCCCCGGGCUCAACCUGGGAACUGCCUCAAAAACUACUGAGCUAGAGUACGGUAGAGUGUAGUGGAAUUUCCUGUGUAGCGGUGAAAUGCGUAGAUAUAGGAAGGAACACCAGUGGCGAAGGCGACUACCUGGACUGAUACUGACACUGAGGUGCGAAAGCGUGGGGAGCAAACAGGAUUAGAAACCCCAGUAGUCC
rnacentral:rRNA from 1 species